rnacentral:rRNA from 1 species
GUUGUUGGGUAGGGGAGCGUUCUGUAAGCCGUCGAAGGUGUGCUGUGAGGCAUGCUGGAGGUAUCAGAAGUGCGAAUGCUGACAUAAGUAACGAUAAAGCGGGUGAAAAGCCCGCUCGCCGGAAGACCAAGGGUUCCUGUUCAACGUUAAUCGGAGCAGGGUGAGUCGACCCCUAAGGCGAGGCCGAAAGGCGUAGUCGAUGGGAAACAGGUUAAUAUUCCUGUACUCGGUGUUACUGCGAAGGGGGGACGGAGAAGGCUAUAUCGGCCGGGCGACGGUUGUCCCGGUUUAAGCGUGUAGGCGGAG